UACAGAGGUCUCAAGCGUUGUUCGGAUUCAUUGGGCGUAAAGGGUGUGUAGGUGGCGCCGUAAGUCGGGUGUGAAAUUUCGGAGCUUAACUCCGAAACUGCAUUCGAUACUGCGGUGCUUGAGGACUGGAGAGGAGACUGGAAUUCAUGGUGUAGCAGUGAAAUGCGUAGAUAUCGUGAGGAAGACCAGUGGCGAAGGCGGGUCUCUGGACAGUUCCUGACGCUGAGGCACGAAGGUCAGGGGAGCAAACGGG
rnacentral:rRNA from 1 species